UUAGAUUACAGGUUAGGAGGAAAUUCUUCACUCAGGGUGGUGAGGCACUGGAAUAGGUUGCCCAGAGAUGCUGUGAAUGCCCCAUCCCUGGAGGUGUUCAAGACCAUGUUGGACAAGGCCCUCAGCAACCUGAUCUGUUGGGUGGCAUUCCUACUCAUGGCAGAGGGGUCAGAACUGGAUGAUCUUUGAGGUCCCUUCCAACUCAGGAUAUUCUAUGAUUCUAUGA